GCGCUGUAGGCAGCACAUAUUCUACAAUCGGAACAUACAGAGGAGAUUGGCCUGGGCCCUGCACAAGGAUGACAGGCAAAUGCGGGCAGUGCGUCAUAUUUCG